GUGUCUUCGCUCGGUGCGCUCCUGAGGCAGGAGCUGAAAAAGUCUUUGGGAAAAGUUUGCGCUGCGCGAGUUUGGACGAGGGCUAGAAAGAGAGAGAGAGAAAGAGAGAGAGGUGAAACGAUGUGUGGGAUUUCAUUUAGCUGCUUCAACUUCUCUAACCCUGCCACCUGCGGACUCUGGUGCCUUUCUGUAACCACACCUUGCAGAGGGUUUUCUCUUUGAAGGAGCUUUUUGCAUUCUUGGCCUGUUAGAAGAGGGCUUAUGAACGACCCUGCUGUUGGAGAUUCCUGGACCGGGGCCAGUGCUUACAGCAUGGCUCGCAUAUAUAGCUGGGGAAGAAAGAAGAUUGCAGAAAUGCCCUCAUCUACAGAGGACAAGUUUGGGGAAGGUGUUGGAGAAAAGGAAAGCUUCCCCCUGCUACUCGUAAAGAUAUUUUUUGAAAUGCUGAACAAUGUGUGUCUGUAGUUGACCAAGUUAAUAUGCUUUCCAGCACUUUAUCUGGCUAUUAGAUUCUGCAUGAGCAGAUAAAGAGGAAAGCACACACGUUGAGGGAGGAGAAUAAAUGUCUGCUUGUCCUUGA